UACGUAGGGGGCAAGCGUUGUCCGGAUUUAUUGGGCGUAAAGAGCGUGUAGGCGGCUUGGUAGGUCUCGCGUCAAAACCUGAGGCUCAACCUCAGUUCGCGUGGGAAACCACCUAGCUAGAGUCCGGAAGAGGAGAACGGAAUUCCCAGUGUAGCGGUGAAAUGCGCAGAUAUUGGGAGGAACACCAGUGGCGAAGGCGGCCGCCUGGGCCAAUACUGACGCUGAGCCGCGAAAGCCAGGGGAGCAAAGCGGG
rnacentral:rRNA from 1 species